UCCAAAUAAAGACCAGUAUGAAAGGCAUCACGAAGACUUAGCUGUCUCCUUUCUCCAAUCAGUGAACCUAAUCUCCCCGUGAAGAAGCGGGGNAUUCAAUUAUAAGACGAGAAGACCCUGUGGAGCUUAAAACAUCAUAACAACUGCCACAUCUUUAACCACUCCGAUGCUUCCCCAAACGGCACCCUGAUUAUAUGUUUUUGGUUGGGGUGACCGCGGAGAAGAGCCCAUCCCCCGCGAUGAAGGGGACUUCCUACCCUAAACAACAAGUUACAACUUUAUGUAUCAAAAAAUUGACAUUCAUUGACCCAAUAAUUGAUCAACGAACCAAGUUACCCCAGGGAUAACAGCACAAUCCACUUUAAGAGCCCCUAUCGACAAGUGGGCUUAUGACCUCGAUGUUGGAUCGGGAUAUCCUAGUGGUGCAGCCG
rnacentral:rRNA from 1 species